rnacentral:rRNA from 1 species
GGGACCUGCGAUGCAUUAGCUAGUUGGUAAGGUAACGGGCGUUACCAAGGCGAUGAUGCAUAGCCCGAGUUGAGAGACUGAUCGGGCCACAUUGGGGACUGAGACACGGGCCCAAACUCCUACGGGAGGCAGCAGUAGGGAAUCUUCCACAAUGGACGAAAGUCUGAUGGAGCAAACGCCGCGUGAGUGAAGAAGGUUUUCGGAUCGUAAAGCUCUGUUGUUGGUGAAGAAGGAUAGAGGUAGUAACUGGCCCUUUAUUUUGACGGUAAUCAACCAGAAAGUCACGGGCUAACUACGUGCCAGCAGCCGCGGUAAAU